rnacentral:lncRNA from 1 species
GCUUUAUUCUAUGCUUGCUUGCUUGGCUUAGGGUUAGCUAUACCUUAUCAUAACUUGAGAGUUUCCAAACUCCCAUCUAUUUUUGCCUUACUAGGUUUAGCUAAUUCUCCAAACCAACUCAAGAGUUUCAGCUAAUAACCCUAUGUUUCAUUCCAUAAUUCACUACAAUUUCAGCUCUCUUAAUUUCAGCUUGUUCAUUG